UCAGGAUGAACGCUGGCGGCGGCCUAUAUGCAGUCGAGCGAAUGGAUUAAGAGCUGCUCUUAUGAAGUUAGCGGCGGACGGGGUGAGUAACACGUGGGUAACCUGCCCAUAAGACUGGGAUAACUCCGGGAAACCGGGGCUAAUACCGGAUAACAUUUUGAACCGCGGUUCGAAAUUGAAAGGCGGCUUCGGCUGUCACUUAUGGAGGACCCGCGUCGCAUUAGCUAGUUGGUGAGGUAACGGCUCACCAGGCAACGAUGCGUAGCCGACCUGAGAGGGUGAUCGGCCACACUGGGACUGAGACACGGCCCAGACUCCUACGGGAGGCAGCAGUAGGGAAUCUUCCGCAAUGGGACGAAAGUCUGACGGAGCAACCGCCGCGUGAGUGAUGAAGGCUUUCGGGUCGUAAAACUCUGUUGUUAGGGAAGAACAAGUGCUAGUUGAAUAAGCUGGCACCUUGACGUACCUAACCAGAAAGCCACGGCUAACUACGUGCCAGCAGCCGCGGUAAUACGUAGGUGGGCAAGCGUUAUCCGGAAUUAUUGGGCGUAAAGCGCGCGCAGGUGGGUUUCUUAAGUCUGAUGUGAAAGCCCACGGCUCAACCGGUUGGUUGUGGUGU
rnacentral:rRNA from 1 species